rnacentral:rRNA from 1 species
AGAGUUUGAUCAUGGCUCAGAUUGAACGCUGGCGGCAUGCCUUACACAUGCAAGUCGAACGGCAGCACGGGGGCAACCCUGGUGGCGAGUGGCGAACGGGUGAGUAAUACAUCGGAACGUGUCCUGGAGUGGGGGAUAGCCCGGCGAAAGCCGGAUUAAUACCGCAUACGAUCUCUGGAUGAAAGCGGGGGACCGAAAGGCCUCGCGCUCAAGGGGCGGCCGAUGGCAGAUUAGCUAGUUGGUGGGGUAAAGGCCUACCAAGGCGACGAUCUGUAGCUGGUCUGAGAGGACGACCAGCCACACUGGGACUGAGACACGGCCCAGACUCCUACGGGAGGCAGCAGUGGGGAAUUUUGGACAAUGGGGGCAACCCUGAUCCAGCAAUGCCGCGUGUGUGAAGAAGGCCUUCGGGUUGUAAAGCACUUUUGUCCGGAAAGAAAACCACUUCUCUAAUACAGAGGUGGGAUGACGGUACCGGAAGAAUAAGCACCGGCUAACUACGUGCCAGCAGCCGCGGUAAUACGUAGGGUGCGAGCGUUAAUCGGAAUUACUGGGCGUAAAGCGUGCGCAGGCGGUUCGCUAAGACCGAUGUGAAAUCCCCGGGCUUAACCUGGGAACUGCAUUGGUGACUGGCGGGCUAGAGUAUGGCAGAGGGGGGUAGAAUUCCACGUAGCAGUGAAAUGCGUAGAGAUGUGGAGGAAUACCGAUGGCGAAGGCAGCCCCCUGGGCCAAUACUGACGCUCAUGCACGAAAGCGUGGGGAGCAAACAGGAUUAGAUACCCUAGUAGUCC